UUACGACCACAUCAUGUUGAAACACCGGUUGCCGAGCGAUCACAGAAGUUAAGCAAAGUCGAGCCUGGUCAGUACCGACAUGGAUGACCGCUUGAGAAUAGCAGGUCUUGUAAG